GAUAAACGCUGGCGGCGUGCAUAACACAUGCAAGUCGAACGAUGAAACUUAGAUGAUUUCUUCGGAAUGAACUUAAGCGGAUUAGUGGCGAACGGGUGAGUAACACGUGAGUAACCUGCCUUACACAAGGGGAUAGCCUUUGGAAACGAAGAAUAAUACCCUAUAAAGUCAAUUUAUCGCAUGAUAGAAUGACCAAAGAUUUAUCGGUGUAAGAUGGACUUGCGUCUGAUUAGCUAGUUGGUGAGAUAAAGGCCCACCAAGGCAACGAUCAGUAGCCGGCUUGAGAGAGUGUACGGCCACAUUGGGACUGAGACACGGCCCAAACUCCUACGGGAGGCAGCAGUGGGGAAUAUUGCACAAUGGAGGGAACUCUGAUGCAGCGACGCCGCGUGAACGAAGAAGGCUUUCGAGUCGUAAAGUUCUUUUAUAUGGGAAGAUAAUGACGGUACCAUAAGAAAAAGCCCCGGCUAACUACUUGCCAGCAGCCGCGGUAAUACGUAGGGGGCUAGCGUUGUCCGGAAUCACUGGGCGUAAAGGGUUCGCAGGCGGAAAUGCAAGUCAGGUGUAAAAGGGAGUAGCUUAACUACUGUAAGCAUGUGAAACUGCAUAUCUUGAGAAGAUGAGAGGUAAGUGGAAUUUUUUGGUGUAGGGUGAAUUGCUAUGAUAUAAAAUGAAUGCCGGUGGUGAUAGUUACUUAUUUGGUGUAUUCUGAUUGUGUAGGAAUGAGGAUGUGUGUCUGUAUCUUGUGUGUAUUCUCUGUAUUUGAGGAGGGAUUUUGUUUUGAUGUUUUUGUUUUUGUGUGUUUUGAGGUGGUGGUGUGUG
rnacentral:rRNA from 1 species